GUGGCUAUAGCUCAGUGGUACAGUGCAUGCUUAGCAUGCAUGAGGUCCUGGGUUCAAUCCCCAGUACCUCCA
rnacentral:tRNA from 1 species